AUUUCUCUUAUCAUUUUCUACCAAACAAAAUCUCCACUCUCUCUUCCUCUUCCCUCCAAUAAUUAGACUUUAUUUUCUCUCUAUUCCCUCAUCUCUUUCUUUGUAAAUCAUGACUCUUCCGUUAUACGUUGCGGCAUCGUUUUCUCCUUCUCCAAAAUUCUCCAAAUUUCCGCCGCCGUCGUCCUUGUCGUCGUGGUGUUUCCGAGUAGUGUGUCUGGGCGGAUCCCACGCGCCGUACGCCGCGAGUGUGCUGAAGUUGGCGUUGCACGACGCUUUGGACGCUGCUGGAAUCGAUACAACCUAUGCCUGAGAGGCUAGGGAGGGUUUUUAUUCUCAGAUCAAUAAAUUAUCCAAUAUUGAAAAGGAAACCAGUAUUAGCAUUUAUAGAUGUGUUGAUUUGGGGAAAACAGCUCCUCAUAUAGCAGCAGAGGAUGACUCCCUGAUAUCACAUUCAUCAGUUCCUCUCCCUGUGAAUGCUUUCAUCGACCGAUUGGAUGAUCUUUCCGUGGGAUAUUGCCCUCAUUAUAACUCAUCUUUGAAGUCAUCAUGAGAAAUUUUUUUUGGAUAGUAUAGAGAGAUAUUUGUUUGAUAAAAAGGGUUUUCAGAGAACUAGUGUGAGGAAUCAAAUAGAUCCAAGAGCACUAUAUCUUCACUCACAUGAGCAGGUUUUGACACAUCGCUCUGGCUCCGCUGUUGUGCUAUUGCUUAUAUACUCAGAAAUCCUGAAAAUGCUUUGCUUAACAUCAUGAGUAGAUUUUGACGUGGAGAUAGCAUUCCCUCUUGACCAUGGUCUUCCUAGGGGAUAUCAGAAGCAGAAGAGCAGGGAAUCUGAUCAGUCAUGCAUCAUGACUGUGCAAAUAUUGUUGGAGGAGGUACUUUUAUAUACUUGCUCACAUUUGUAUUAUUUUUCUUUCCUGUAUUUAGCAAACCUCAAGUCUGUUAAGCUAAGAUACUAGAUAUAUGUUAUUCGGUGUUUUUGUUUUUAAAAAAAAAAAAAAUGCAUUCGAAAAUAAAAAUAAGAAGUUUGAUUUUGUGUUCUCAGAAUUUGAAAUUGUGUAAAUAAAAACAGUAAAAAAUUUAUUUUUUGAAUACAGUAUCUGAAAAUAAAAACAGUAAAAAUGUGUUCGCUAUCAUUUUCUUAUGAUAAAUAUAAAAUUUAGAGAAUGAAAGGACGGAAAACAUCUUUUUUAAGUUUUGUGUUUUCAAUUCUUAAAUAAAGAUUGAAUUCUCCAUUUUUCAUAUUUUCUUUUCACAAAGGGUAAAUGGUAAGUGAACAAAUAUCUGUGUCAUGAUAAUUAUUUUCUGGAACUAAUCAGCAAAUCAAUUGUGGACUUAUUUGUGUUGGAAGAUAAAGGGUUGUAUUUUCUCUCCCACUUUCAGUUUGUUGCAUUGCUAGAUUUAUUAGGUAGACCAAUAUGGUACUAAGGAACUAAAGUAAAUAAUUUGCAAUUAGCAUAUGACCAAUUGCAUUUGGGAAAUUAAGGAAAGAAGACCGAAGAUCCAUUUUGGUACUUGGAUGUGUGCACUCUACCCGUGGAAAUGUUAGAAAUGAUUUCUAUUAUGUUUUGUCAUAUAUGAGUUAGUUGACUUUGGGAAUGAUUAUUGAUUUUUGUGUUUCCUUCUUUUUUUAUUCCCAUAGUUGGAUCAUCAUACUUAGAUCAGGAGUAUUUCCCUGUGAGAUUCAAUCGAAGAAAAAAUGCAAUAUGGUGCUGUUUUGGAUCAAUGUUUAUGUAAUAGUUUUUUUUAUUCAUAAUUGUCAGUUAACUAAUUUGAUAAUGCAUAUAUUCUAAUUUCUCAGAAAGACGGCAUGUUAAAUGUUCACAAGAUUCAUGAAAUUCAUAUGCAUUUAUGAGACUGUAGUACGUAAUUCAACUUUAAUGCGUUUGAAUUGAAGUUAAGCUUAGAGAUUCAUUUAUAUUUUGCAACAUUAAUAAUAUAUGGUAUAUGCAGGGUUUAUUUAAUAAAAAAAAUAGAAUAGAAAAAGAACAUCAUUGAGGGACAUAUUGAAGGCUAGCAUUAGAUAUACGAAGAGAUUCAAAUUAAAGUUUUCCCCGGAAAUAUGCAUUUUGAGAAAGCAUAGAAAUGUGAUUUCGUGUGAGUUUAGUAUAUCAUUCCUGACAUGAUUUCUUCCGGAGUUUAUUCUUAAGGACAGCACAUGCUGCUAACUGCAUUGAUCAAUUAAACAGUGAAGACAGUGGCUUGCAGCUUGCAUCAGCGAAGGCUGCUAAACACAGGUUAGAGCGUGGUGUUUGGACCAGUGUACGCUCUGGGGAUAUGAGAUGUGCAUUAGCUGGUAUGUAAUUGUAAGAUAAUUGAUGUGUUUAGCAUAUUCUUUUUUGUACUUAUGCAAGAAUGCGAGAUAAAAAAACAAGAUACAUUUGGCAUGCUGUUGUUGGCAUGUUUUCAUCUAAAGCCAUAGAGAUUGAAGUAAAAAAAAUAUAAAAAAUUAUCAAAAUGUCAAAAGUUAGUUAAAAAAAAAAAGGUCUUAAAUAUCCCAUCUUUGUCUUCACAACAACGAAAUCUUCAUCUUCCCCACAAACAAAACCAAACCCUCACUUUUCCGUCAAAAUCUAAACAGUACAAACAAUUCACCAAAAUUGAAUCAAUCCAAUUGUCAUAAAAAACACAAAUAUCACAACUAUAACCACAAACAAUCAUUGAUUUCGUUUUUUUAAUUUUUUAUUAUUAUUAUCUGAGUUGUGUUAAGGGUAAAUGGAUAAAUUUGGAGGUGGAUUGGGUUCGGUGGCGGAGCACGCUUGCAGGGCUGUUGAGCCUAGCCUUUCAGCUGCUGUUAGUGGCAGUUUGCGGCCUUGCAACUGCUGCCAUGGCAACGCGCCUAGCAGUGACUGCUAAGGUGGCUUCGUGGCCUUGCUGGCGAUGCCAGGUCGUGGCUUUGCGGCCUUGGAUAGUAGCAUCCAUGGCCGUGUGGAGGCUGUCAUUGGAAUUAACUUGAAUGUGAGGAUAUGAGUUUUUAAGUCGGGUUUGUUGAUGUUAAUAGAUUUUAGGUGUUUUAAGUUUUUUUGACUUGAUUGGAGUUUUUAGGGCCAGGGAUUUGGAUUACAUUGAGGGUGUGGAAAUUUCAGAGUGGAAUUAUUUAAUUUGAUUUUGAUUUUAGGUUCAAAGUGAGGACCAGUUGACUUUCUUUUUUUAUGGUUUUAUUUUAGAAUUAGGGGUAAGUAAGGAAUUUCACUAUUAAGUGUGUCAGAUGACAGAUAUCAUCAACUCUAACAAAUGAUAGGUGGUCAGGGCUAUUUCCAAUACCAGAGUUUAUUAGAGUUAGGGCAUACCUCAGGGGGUUUAAAGUAAGUUUCUCUUGGAAAUAUAUAUAAUAAUUUAGGGAGAUGGUUGAUUGAGAAUAAUAAUACUAGACGUAUAAAGAAAUCUUACAAAUAUUUCUAUAUAAAGUGGUGUGGCACCUCUAUUCAUUUUUUGUCACAUGACUUUGUAUAUAAAUAUUUUUAAGAUUUCUUUAUAGUGUAGAGUUAUUUGAGUUAGGGCAUACCUCAGGUUUAAAUAAUUCCUCUUUAGAAUAUAUGUAUAUAGUCUUUAGUCUUGACACUAAGUAAGUGAACUUCACUAACAGAACUUGAGAAUUUUGCUUCAAAGAGUCCAAAUUUCACCAAGAAAAAGACGUGAAAACUUGGUGAAAAAGGACAUGGCAUUUAUGAGCCACCAUCUUUAGUCUUUACACCUUAAAAUAUAGAAGACUAUGUAAUCUAUAUUAUUAGAUAAUUGUAUUUAAAUUAAUUGUAUUGAUAGAGGAAGGAAUUACGAUUGCAUUUUAUAAUUAAUAAAUAUUGAGUAGUUAUAUAAGUAUAUUAUAUAUUCAGUGUUUUGACCUGAAAUGCCCUCCAUGAUCUAGUCACUAGAUCAUGUAUACAUGAUAAGUGUGUUCUUCCACAAAAAAGAAGAUGAACAUAAGUGGAAUGAACUAGGGAAUGCCUCCGUUGUUUUGGAUUUUUGUUGUGAUUAUUUAAGUGAAGGUAAAAAAUGCUGCGAGGUGAAAAAAUGCGGGGUUAAUUUAGAUUCUAGUGAGAGGUAGCGAUGGCCAAUUACAGGGUUCGGACUGAAACUGUAGAAACCCCAACUCGAGUCAUGCCUCAUCUUACCAUGCUCGUCUUUGAUCGUGAACCCACAAAUAAAGGGAAGCAGCCAAGCCAGAAUGGUUCUAAAUGCUUCCGCCUCUGCACCAAGAAAGUCGCUACUUUUAAAAGAGAAGUAGGGCAACAAUUAAAUUAUAUAAUACCCAAAAUAAGAAAGAAAAUUAUUCCUCAACCUAAAACUACCUUAAAGUUAAUAAUGGAGUAUCUCAAGAAUUAAAUUAGUGAAAUUUAUGGGGUGCAAUAAAAAAAGUCAUUUUAGAACUUUGAAAUGGAGUAUCUCAAGAAAUUAGGUUUCUUUAGUCUAUUAGUAGAUGUCAAUAGCUCUUUCAAAAUUCAUAAUUCUUAAUGGAUUUUGUUUUUUUUUUUAACCAAGUUGUCCAACCCAAUUUACACAUACCUCCACUAAUUCUUAAAGGAGACUACCAUGCAUUUUGUUCUUUAACCUGUGC